ACGCAGGCGCAGGGCGUCUGACGUCAUCUGAAGCGGCCUCCCUCCCGAUCUGGCGCCAAAUUUGAAUUUAAAAGUGCUGUCUUGCUGAGCUCCGGUGCCUGUGUGCCUGGCAGCCGAGCUCUAGCGUUUUAAAGGUAUAGGCCUGUCCUAUUGUCAGGCAAACCUUUUUGUUAAAUAUGGGAACCUAACCUUGAACUGUUCA